GAUGAACGCUGGCGGCGUGCCUAAUACAUGCAAGUCGAGCGAACGGACGAGAAGCUUGCUUCUCUGAUGUUAGCGGCGGACGGGUGAGUAACACGUGGAUAACCUACCUAUAAGACUGGGAUAACUUCGGGAAACCGGAGCUAAUACCGGAUAAUAUUUUGAACCGCAUGGUUCAAAAGUGAAAGACGGUCUUGCUGUCACUUAUAGAUGGAUCCGCGCUGCAUUAGCUAGUUGGUAAGGUAACGGCUUACCAAGGCAACGAUGCAUAGCCGACCUGAGAGGGUGAUCGGCCACACUGGAACUGAGACACGGUCCAGACUCCUACGGGAGGCAGCAGUAGGGAAUCUUCCGCAAUGGGCGAAAGCCUGACGGAGCAACGCCGCGUGAGUGAUGAAGGUCUUCGGAUCGUAAAACUCUGUUAUUAGGGAAGAACAUAUGUGUAAGUAACUGUGCACAUCUUGACGGUACCUAAUCAGAAAGCCACGGCUAACUACGUGCCAGCAGCCGCGGUAAUACGUAGGUGGCAAGCGUUAUCCGGAAUUAUUGGGCGUAAAGCGCGCGUAGGCGGUUUUUUUAAGUCUGAUGUGAAAGCCCACGGCUCAACCGUGGAGGGUCAUUGGAAACUGGAAAACUUGAGUGCAGAAGAGGAAAGUGGAAUUCCAUGUGUAGCGGUGAAAUGCGCAGAGAUAUGGAGGAACACCAGUGGCGAAGGCGACUUUCUGGUCUGUAACUGACGCUGAUGUGCGAAAGCGUGGGGAUCAAACAGGAUUAGAUACCCUGGUAGUCCACGCCGUAAACGAUGAGUGCUAAGUGUUAGGGGGUUUCCGCCCCUUAGUGCUGCAGCUAACGCAUUAAGCACUCCGCCUGGGGAGUACGACCGCAAGGUUGAAACUCAAAGGAAUUGACGGGGACCCGCACAAGCGGUGGAGCAUGUGGUUUAAUUCGAAGCAACGCGAAGAACCUUACCAAAUCUUGACAUCCUUUGACAACUCUAGAGAUAGAGCUUUCCCCUUCGGGGGACAAAGUGACAGGUGGUGCAUGGUUGUCGUCAGCUCGUGUCGUGAGAUGUUGGGUUAAGUCCCGCAACGAGCGCAACCCUUAAGCUUAGUUGCCAUCAUUAAGUUGGGCACUCUAAGUUGACUGCCGGUGACAAACCGGAGGAAGGUGGGGAUGACGUCAAAUCAUCAUGCCCCUUAUGAUUUGGGCUACACACGUGCUACAAUGGACAAUACAAAGGGCAGCGAAACCGCGAGGUCAAGCAAAUCCCAUAAAGUUGUUCUCAGUUCGGAUUGUAGUCUGCAACUCGACUACAUGAAGCUGGAAUCGCUAGUAAUCGUAGAUCAGCAUGCUACGGUGAAUACGUUCCCGGGUCU
rnacentral:rRNA from 1 species